GAUGAACGCUGGCGGCGUGCCUAAUACAUGCAAGUCGAGCGAACAGACGAGGAGCUUGCUCCUCUGACGUUAGCGGCGGACGGGUGAGUAACACGUGGAUAACCUACCUAUAAGACUGGGAUAACUUCGGGAAACCGGAGCUAAUACCGGAUAAUAUAUUGAACCGCAGGGUUCAAUAGUGAAAUACGGUUUUGCUGUCACUAAUAGAUGGAUCCCGGCCGCAUUAGCUAGUUGGUAAGGUAACGGCUUACCAAGGCAACGAUGCGUAGCCGACCUGAGAGGGUGGUCGCCCACACUGGAACUGAGCCGCGGUCCAGACUCCUACGGGAGGCAGCAGUAGGGAAUCUUCCGCAAUGGUCGAAAGCCUGACGGAGCAACGCCGCGUGAGUGAUGAAGGUCUUCGGAUCGUAAAACUCUGUUAUUAGGGAAGAACAAAUGUGUAAGUAACUAUGCACGUCUUGACGGUACCUAAUCAGAAAGCCACGGCUAACUACGUG
rnacentral:rRNA from 1 species